rnacentral:rRNA from 1 species
UACGUAGGGGGCAAGCGUUGUCCGGAUUUAUUGGGCGUAAAGAGCGUGUAGGCGGUCAGGUAGGUCCGUUGUGAAAACUCGAGGCUCAACCUCGAGACGCCGGUGGAAACCAUCAGACUAGAGUCCGGAAGAGGAGAGUGGAAUUCCGUGGUGUAGCGGUGAAAUGCGCAGAUAUCAGGAAGAACACCCGUGGCUAAGGCGGCUCUCUAGUACGGUACUGACGCUGAGACGCGAAAGCGUGGGGAGCGAACAGG